GAUGAACGCUAGCGGCAGGCUUAACACAUGCAAGUCGAGGGGUAUAGUUCUUCGGAACUAGAGACCGGCGCACGGGUGCGUAACGCGUAUGCAAUCUACCUUUCACAGAGGGAUAGCCCAGAGAAAUUUGGAUUAAUACCUCAUAGUAUACAGACUCGGCAUCGAGAUUGUAUUAAAGUCACAACGGUGAAAGAUGAGCAUGCGUCCCAUUAGCUUGUUGGUAAGGUAACGGCUUACCAAGGCUACGAUGGGUAGGGGUCCUGAGA
rnacentral:rRNA from 1 species